UACAGAGGUGGCAAGCGUUGUUCGGAGUUACUGGGCGUAAAGGGCGCGUAGGCGGCCUACUAAGUCUGAUGUGAAAGCCCUGGGCUCAACCUGGGAAUGGCAUUGGAUACUGGCGACCUAGAGUGCGGUAGAGGGGUGUGGAAUUCCCGGUGUAGCAGUGAAAUGCGUAGAUAUCGGGAGGAACAUCUGUGGCGAAGGCGACACCCUGGACCAGCACUGACACUGAGGCACGAAAGCGUGGGGAGCAAACAGG
rnacentral:rRNA from 1 species